rnacentral:tRNA from 1 species
UCUCCAGUGGCGCAGUUGGUUAGCGCAUGGUACUUAUAGAACAGUAAUUAGAUGUGCCGAUUGAUGCUGCAAUGGAUGAAAGAAAUGCCGAGGUCGCGAGUUCGAUCCUCGCCUGGAGAA